AACGAACGCUGGCGGCAGGCUUAACACAUGCAAGUCGAACGCGAAAUCACCUUCGGGUGGUGGAGAGUGGCAGACGGGUGAGUAACGCGUGGGAACCUACCUAGUGGUACGGAAUAACUCAGGGAAACUUGGGCUAAUACCGUAUGUGCCCGAAAGGGGAAAGAUUCAUCGCCACUAGAUGGGCCCGCGUCGGAUUAGCUUGUUGGUGAGGUAACGGCUCACCAAGGCGACGAGCCGUAGCUGGUCUGAGAGGAUGAUCAGCCACACUGGGACUGAGACACGGCCCAGACUCCUACGGGAGGCAGCAGUGGGGAAUAUUGGACAAUGGGCGCAAGCCUGAUCCAGCCAUGCCGCGUGAGUGAUGAAGGCCCUAGGGUUGUACAGCUCUUUCGGCGGGGACGAUAAUGACGGUACCCGCAGAAGAAGCCCCGGCUAACUUCGUGCCAGCCGCCGCAGUAA
rnacentral:rRNA from 1 species